UACAGAGGGGGCAAGCGUUGUUCGGAAUUACUGGGCGUAAAGCGCGUGUAGGCGGCCUCUUCAGUCUGGUGUGAAAGCCCGGGGCUCAACCCCGGAAGUGCAUUGGAUACUGGGAGGCUGGAGUACCGGAGAGGAGGGUGGAAUUCCUGGUGUAGCGGUGAAAUGCGUAGAUAUCAGGAGGAACACCUGUGGCGAAGGCGGCCCUCUGGACGGAUACUGACGCUGAGACGCGAAAGCGUGGGGAGCAAACAGG
rnacentral:rRNA from 1 species